rnacentral:tRNA from 1 species
UGGGAAGUUGCCAAGUGGUAAGGCACCAGACUUUGACUCUGGUAUUCGUAGGUUCAAUCCCUGCCUUCCCAG